UAACACGUGAGUAACCUGCCCCCUUCUUCUGGAUAACCGCAUGAAAGUGUGGCUAAUACGGGAUAUUCUGCGCCUGCUGCAUGGUGGGUGUGGGAAAGAUUGUGCCUUUGGGUGUUUUCGGUGGGGGAUGGGCUCGCGGCCUAUCAGCUUGUUGGUGGGGUGAUGGCCUACCAAGGCGGUGACGGGUAGCCGGCCUGAGAGGGUGGACGGUCACACUGGGACUGAGACACGGCCCAG
rnacentral:rRNA from 1 species